AGAGAAAAGGAAAGAGGCUCACCUGGCCAGCCAGCCAGGCUGCCCUGCUUUCCCAGCCCGUGCAUUCAGGGCGAUGCCAAGAAUCUGACGCUGCCCACGGGCACCCUCUCUCCCCGCCGCCCCGCCCUCGCUCCCUCUUUGCCAGGUGCACCCCCCACCUGGUCCUGACCCCGAGCAGCUCAGAUGACAGGCCGCCCUCCCCAGGAGGUCCAGGCUUCCUGGCAGCUGCGGGUGGGAGCACAGCCAGCCCUGCUGUGCGUGCGGAGGUGGCAAUGACCCCGGGAGGGAGAAGAGAGGAGCGGGCAGGGGCUGGGGAGGCAGAGGUGGUGGCCAGCUCACCCAGAGCUCGCUGUUCUUCCUGGAGCCUCGGAGCUCCGACUCCCAUCCGGCUCCUGCCUCUCCAGCCCCUCAGGGCCUGGGAAUGAGUGACGGAGUCUCCUCCUCUCUCCCCUCCCUGCAAGCCCCUGGGAAGUGCCGAGACCCCCUCAGGGGAUGGGCUGGGUGGUCCCCAGAGGAGGGAGCUUGGGAUCGACCCUGUUGGGCCUGGGCCUGGGCCUGGACGCUGGGAUCUGCCAAAUCCAGCCUGUGUCACGACCUCUGACCCCGAGGGAGUGAGUCACUCCCAGGCACAGGCGGGGCUGACUGCGCUCAGGCCGACUCCCACAGGAGGAGAGAGCUGCGGGGGGCCGGUGUGGGGGUCUUCCUGGGGCAGGGAGUGGUUACUUCAAGUGCACAAGAGCCUGAGUGACACCUGGGAGGUCUGUCUUAGGGCCAGUGACACCAGCCAGUCCAUCCUCCUGCCUCCGGGAUAAAGACCUCCAGCCCGGCCCUCAUGGGCCAGGCCACACCCAGGGUUUCCCUUCCCAGAUGCCCCCACGUGGUGGGUGGGUAAGGCCCCAGGGCACCCGCCCCACCAGUCACAUGGGCAGGCUGACCACGUCCACCACCAUGUCCCUCAGCAGCCAGCUCUCCCCAGCAGUGGCCACUCCCACCCCUGACAGCCAACUUGCUCCCCAGUGGCCUCUGAGGUCUUGGGGUUUGUCACAAAGGCUUCAGGGGGCUGUGUCCCACACCCUUCCACACCCGCAUGUGGAGUGGCCAUGGAGAGCUGCUGCCAUGGGUCUCCAGGCACUUGGCCAGAGCCGGGGGAGUGUCCGCGGGAGGGACUGCAUGUCCGGAGCCCUCUUUCGCAUCUCAGUGGGCACCUCAGUGGGCGGGAGGCCAUGGUGGAUCCGAGACAUGGGCCUCAGAGUCAAAACGAGAUGGAGGCCCCUUCACUCGAACUAGUUUUGGCCCACUACUCAACAUCUGCUGGCCUGGACCUUCCCCAUCUGUAAAAUGGGUGUAAUCAACUCCAGCUGCAAGAAUUAAAGUGAGAUGUGUGUCCAGAAACAGGAAGGGCAGCCACUCAAAAAAUACAAUUCCCUUUCCUCCAAGGAGGUGAUUUCCUAGGCAGAGAGUGGGGAAGGCCCAGCCCCUCCUGACACCCCUGCCCACUGGGCUGGGCCCUAAAAAGCAGCUCCAGGAACCAGCACAAAGGAGGCCAGGCCAGGUGUCAGGGUUAAUUAACACAGAGCCUCCGUUCCACGCCUGCCCGGCAGACGCCUUGACCCCCAGCGCUCCCCUUGGAGCCUCCUUCUCAUCUCUGGCCUCACUCUGUCCCCCAGCUUUCUGGCCCCAGAAUCCACUCCCAGGGCCCACCACCCCUUCCUGGGCGCCAACCAGCUGCUCUCCAAGCCCAGCCCUCGCCCUGCCCGCCGUCUCCCCCAACCCCCAGAUCUCUGGCCCAGGAGGCAGCCUGGGUGCUCUGUAUACGUGACAAGCUCCUCUCGUACCUUCCCCUCACUUGUCACUGACGGCGGCCCCCAGAGGACAGGAGAGGGAAUCCCUGCGCCUGACGAGCCCCCCAGUCCAGGGGCUUUUCCAACACAGCACAUCCGCCCCCCGGAACCGCUCAGAGCCCACUGCUGCUCAGCACACACUCGGCAUCUAGAGAGAGCGACCCGACGCCUGCGCAGCUGCCCAUCCAAUCCUCUGGCGGAAAUGGAAGGCCGUCCACAGACGGGCCAGCCACGUACAUAAUUUUAAAGUUUCUAGGAGCCACAGUAAAAAACACCUCUCGAUUUGGACUGGUCACAUUUCAAGUGGUCAGUAGCCACAUGUCCUGGACAGUACAGCUCUUGAUAGCCUCAAUUUCAUCCUGAGAUGACACCAGAUCCUUGGAGAGCCGUUUAUCUGGAUCAUUUUUAGCACCGUGUUUGCAGCCACGCGGGGGGUGGUACAGGACACAGAGAAGCAUCUACUGUGAGAUACUGUUGAGGCCACUGAUCCCUACAUCACAGUGUCCCCUUUCUGGGAACGUAUGGGGACAUUACUCUCAGAUUCGACCGUCAGAAAGAACAGAGUUUCUCCUAAGAGUCACUUUGCCAGAUGAGCGCUAAGCAUCCGUCAGACGAUUCCAAAGAUGUCGGUUCCUGCGACUGCCAACCCCCCCCCCUUCCAGGGUUCCCUCACUUACCUGGCUCACAGGUGCUCAGGCCAGGAUGCACCCCUGACUCAAAAGCAGCGGCUCACGAGUGAGCUGGGCUGUUGGAGCUUCCCCGGGAGCGUGGAGCCAGGAACCCUUCCAGACACCCGAGCUACUGCAACUCGUGCUCCUCCGUGCACAGGCAUCUAGGCACCGGCCUCCCCGAAGUACCUCAACAUGCUUCUUUUUAUUGACUUCAAAGUCACACAGAAUUACAGUGAUUAAAAAACAAUCUGUAGGGCUUCCCUGGUGGCGCAGUGGUUGGGAGUCUGCCUGCCGAUGCUAGGGGACGCGGGUUCAUGCCCCGGUACGGGAAGAUCCCACAUGCUGCGGAGCGGCUGGGCCCGUGAGCCAUGGCCGCUGAGCCUGCGCGUCCGGAGCCUGUGCUCCGCAGUGGGAGAGGCCACAACAGUGAGAGGCCCGCGUACCGCAAAAACAAAAAAACAAUCUAUAGAGACAGAAAGCGGUGGUUGCCAAGGUGGGGGCAGGCGUUGGCCGGGGAGUGACUGCUUCAUGGAUAUGGAGUUUCCUUUUGAGGUGAUGAAAAUGUUCUGGAACUCGGUAGUGGUGAUGGUUGCACAACAAUGUGAAUAUGUUCACGGUAGAUUAAAGAGAAAAGAAUUUAACGUGUCCUUUUUUCACUUGAGCCAGUUUCUUCUCCCAUCUUAGACCUUAAAACCAGAAGGGCCCUGAGACAAUUCAGGAGCCCUGGGGGAUGAUGAAUCACGCCCCCUCUUCCUGGAACCUGUGAAUGUUACCUUACAUGGCAGGAUGGACGCUGCAGAGGUGACGAAGGAUUGUGAGAUGCAGAGAUUACCCCGAUUAUCUGGGUGGGCCCCAAACAUAAUCACAAGGUCCUUAUGAGAGGGACGCAGAGGGAAAACUGAAGAAUAUAGAGAAGAUAACCGGGUGAUGCUGGAGGCAGAGUGGAGUGAUGUGGCCACAAGCCAAGCAGUGCCGGCAGCCACCAGCAGCUGGAGGAAGUGAGGACAGACUCUCCCCUGGAGUCUCCAGAUGGGACCAGCCCUGCUGACACCUUGACUUAGCCCAGUGACCCUGAUUUCAGACUUCUGACCUCCAGGACUGCCAGAGAAUAAAUCCUAUUGUUUUAAGCCA